rnacentral:rRNA from 1 species
UACGUAGGGGCGAGCGUUGUCCGGAAUUAUUGGGCGUAAAGGGCGUGUAGGCGGUUAUUUAAGUCAGGUGUGAAACACCACGGCUCAACCGUGGGGUUGCACUUGAAACUGGAGGACUUGAGUGCAGGAGAGGAGAGCGGAAUUCCCGGUGUAGCGGUGAAAUGCGUAGAUAUCGGGAAGAACACCAGUGGCGAAGGCGGCUCUCUGGCCUGUAACUGACGCUGAGGCGCGAAAGCUAGGGUAGCGAACGGGAUUAGAUACCCUGGUAGUCCCUGAG